AUGAUGUUUGAGCAUGUACUUUUUUUGAGUGUCUAUUUAUUUUCGAUUGGUAUCUAUGGAUUGAUCACAAGCCGAAACAUGGUUAGAGCUCUAAUAUGUCUUGAACUUAUACUGAAUUCAAUUAAUCUAAAUCUCGUAACAUUUUCUGAUCUAUUUGAUAGUCGCCAAUUAAAAGGAGAUAUUUCCGCAAUUUUUGUUAUAGCCCUUGCAGCUGCUGAAGCCGCUAUUGGACUAUCCAUUCUUUCUUCCAUCCAUCGUAAUAGGAAAUCCACUCGUAUCAGUCAAUCUAAUUUAUUGAAUAAUUAG
rnacentral:rRNA from 1 species